GACGAACGCUGGCGGCGUGCUUAACACAUGCAAGUCGAACGGUGAUGCGGAGCUUGCUCCGCGGAUCAGUGGCGAACGGGUGAGUAACACGUGAGUAACCUGCCCUUGACUCUGGGAUAAGCGUUGGAAACGACGUCUAAUACUGGAUAGGACUUCUCUAGGCAUCUGGAGGGGUGGAAAGAUUUUUCGGUCAUGGAUGGACUCGCGGCCUAUCAGCUUGUUGGUGGGGUGAUGGCCUACCAAGGCGACGACGGGUAGCCGGCCUGAGAGGGUGACCGGCCACACUGGGACUGAGACACGGCCCAGACUCCUACGGGAGGCAGCAGUGGGGAAUAUUGCACAAUGGGCGCAAGCCUGAUGCAGCAACGCCGCGUGAGGGACGACGGCCUUCGGGUUGUAAACCUCUUUUAGCAGGGAAGAAGCGAGAGUGACGGUACCUGCAGAAAAAGCACCGGCUAACUACGUGCCAGCCGCCGCGGUAAAAC
rnacentral:rRNA from 1 species